CCAAAGGAAGCCCGGGCGUGCGCUUGCAGCCCUGCUCUUACCGAGCUCCCCCCGCCCGGAAGCAGCUGGCCUUGCUGGACGAAGGAGCCCCGAGGCACCAGGACCCGGCCCGGGGCGACACCCGUGAUGUGGGCGUGUCCCGAGGGCUGUUUCCUAGCAGGAGACACUCCUGUGACCCAGGCAGGGCGGCGGCUCUUCUGACACCUGGUAGCAACGGGGGGGGGGGGCUGGUGUGGUUUCGUCUCAUGGCGGGUGCCUCCUCCGGACAGACCCCCCCCCCCCCCAAGCCGAUUCCAGCUGCGCGUGGUUCUCUGGCCUGGGAAGCGGGAACAGCGCUGACGUGUUUCCUGCGCAGACUCCCCGGCCCUCCCUGUGCCGUCCGCCCGGCGGACCGGCUCACCGCCCAGACACCGCCGGGUCUGCAAGUGGCCUGUCCCCCGGGGCGAGGGGGGGACCUGCCGGAUGCCCUCGUUCCCGGGAGGCGGGUCACGCACUUCCGCUUCGCGGCUUUGGGCUCCUUCGCUUUGAGGUCAUGGUUCCUAAGGAUGGAGCGCCACCGCCUGGGGACACAGCUGACCCCCCCCCCUCCCCCGCACUGAGCUCAGCGGCCCGCAGGACGGGGAGGGCGGAGCCCCGUGGCCCUCUGGGCACUUUCAUCACUAAGAUUGUGGCUGAUAAAGGCUCCAGAUACCUCGGGACGGAGAUGCUCCGCUAGCCCAUGGCGGCUGCUGCUUCUUCCCGCCACACCCGGAAGCCCCCGUCUUCGAAUGUGACUUGAACCCUUUGAGAGGCAACACCCAGUUAUGACAAGAAACAGGGCAAAUAAGUAAAAACCGUUUCACGGGUGAGUGCCACCUUGGGGCGCACCCUCCCAGCCCACCCCGCGGGGCCGGCUUCUCUGGCGCGUCACACGGAGCAGGGCCGUGGCGCAUUCCCCCGUCCUUGGAGGGAGCGGCCACUUAACCGUCUUGUUGCGGUUACUUCUGGGGACUGUCGUGACCUGGCCGUAGAAUUCUCUUCUUCCACUUCUGAGCCCUUUACGGCCUUGAGAAGAGGCCCGAGCGCCGGACCCUUUCUCAAAGCUGCGCCACGCGGAGCGUUUGCGAAAUCCCAGGAACCGACCCACCAGGCAGGCGGGCGGCCGCAUGCGUUCGGGUUCCCGGGGUGUCAGCCGCUGCCCCCGGCCGGCAGGAGCGCGUCUGCGACAGAAUUUCAAUUCCGGGGCUUUCCAAACAUGCCCCAGAAACCCCAUCGUGACAGGUUCUCAGUCGUGGCCCAAGAACCGUCUGCGGUCGCGUUUCCAAUAAAGAACGACACGUGACAAGGCGCGUCCUCAGGUACGUACGACUUUACACUUUAUUCAUUCCAGUGGAGACCAAAGCUGUUUCACGGAGCCCACCCCGGACCCCCGGUCCCCGCGGGGCCCCCGUCGUCUCCGUCCCCACCUCCCACAAAAGGGGUCCAUCCGUAUCCACGUUCUGAACGCCCGCAGGUGCGAGGCCGCACGGAAGAACAAACAUCCAUCCCAAGUCUGCUUAUCAGAGGCUUUUUUCCUGAAAACGCGCACGGCAUUCCGUUCAAACAGCCCUUCAUGCGCAGACGGGGAGGGGCCUCCCCUCGGGAUAUCUUAGUCUGUUCACCUCCUUCGUCCGUCACUUGUACGUUUUCUCUCUUAAAAACAAAACUUUAUGCAUCUACAGUCACAUAACUGAUCGCCGUGAACCGCCAGGCUGUGUCUGGCCACCGCGGGCGCCCAGCUGGCACUGUCACGCUGGUGUGGUCGGGGAGGGGGCACAGCUGAGGCCGGGGGGCUUUUCCUUCACUCAUGGCCGUGGCCGUGGAUGGAAAUGCGCACUGAGAACUCCUGGGGAGGUUACAAACGCUUUUUCCUGUACUUCGGGCCUGGCGGUCACUUCCUACGCAGAGGCCCAAGAACAAAAUACAACUUAUUUAGAAAUUCAGAAGAACUUUCCCCCCAGGCAAACCCAGAGGCUUUGCUUCAGGGAACGGAGUGGAGACUGCGGGGCUUAUAUUGUGCUUUAAGGACAGGUUUCCAGCUGUGUGUCCAGGGAGUGAUCUGGGCUGAGCUCCGGGCGGGAGAGGCGACAGGAACCGUCCCUUUCCUGCGUCUGGAGGCUGUGCUCCUCCCCUCGGGGUCACCAGAGGCCUGACGGCCUUCCCCGGACCUCCUGCCAUCCGCACGGGCUGUCCCCCCGGCACCGGCUCCCGCGGUCUACACACGGUUCCCUUCCCCCACAGCUCCUCCCCCUGCACACGUGGGACCCAGCACCGGGAGCAGGGACGAGGGUCGGCCUCCCAGCGGGCCCGGCCCGUCGGCAGCCCCCCUGCCGGCCCAGCACCACCGUUGAGGCCGCUAUGUGCACGGGGAGGCAGAUCGCGUCCCGAUACACGGAGACACCAGGCUGGUAACGUCUGUAGAAAAGAGGGGUCUGAAAAGGGUUAAAGAGGCAGAUGGGAGCUCUGGGCCACGUGUGUGGGGGACCCAGACACGGGUGGACCUGGUGGAGAGAGGCCGGCAAGAGGCUGAAGUCAAAGCCCCACACAGCCUCGGACCUGAUCACAAAAGGGCCCGUAAAUAAAUAUCCUCUAGCCCUGAAAGGAAAAA